GACGAACGCUGGCGGCGUGCCUAAUACAUGCAAGUUGAGCGAUGAAGCUUGGUGCUUGCACCAAUUUGAAGAGCAGCGAACGGGUGAGUAACGCGUGGGGAAUCUGCCUUUGAGCGGGGGACAACAUUUGGAAACGAAUGCUAAUACCGCAUAAUAACUUUAAACAUAAGUUUUAAGUUUGAAAGAUGCAAUUGCAUCACUCAAAGAUGAUCCCGCGUUGUAUUAGCUAGUUGGUGAGGUAAAGGCUCACCAAGGCGAUGAUACAUAGCCGACCUGAGAGGAUGAUCGGCCACAUUGGGACUGAGACACGGCCCAAACUCCUACGGGAGGCAGCAGUAGGGAAUCUUCGGCAAUGGACGAAAGUCUGACCGAGCAACGCCGCGUGAGUGAAGAAGGUUUUCGGAUCGUAAAACUCUGUUGGUAGAGAAGAACGUUGGUGAGAGUGGAAAGCUCAUCAAGUGACGGUAACUACCCAGAAAGGGACGGCUAACUACGUG
rnacentral:rRNA from 1 species